rnacentral:lncRNA from 1 species
CGAGAACAUCCAAAAUGAAAGCCUUCGCUCUCCUUGCUCUUCUUGCCCUCCUUUUUCAAGCCUUAGCCGCGAACCCAACUGGCACUGCAACCACAGUUACUACAGUUACUACCGUCACAAGUACACCUACUUCUACCACAGCUACUACAACCCCUACCGUCACAAGUACACCUACUUCUACCACAGCUACUACAACCCCUACCGUCACAAGUACACCUACUUCUACCACAGCUACUACCACCCCUACCGUCACAAGUACACCUACUUCUACCACAGCUACUACCACCCCUACCGUCACAAGUACACCUACUUCUACCACAGCUACUACCACCCCUACCGUCACAAGUACACCUACUUCUACCACAGCUACUACCACCCCUACCGUCACAAGUACACCUACUUCUACCACAGCUACUACCACCCCUACCGUCACAAGUACACCUACUUCUACCACAGCUACUACCACCCCUACCGUCACAAGUACACCUACUUCUACCACAGCUACUACCACCCCUACCGUCACAAGUACACCUACUUCUACCACAGCUACUACCACCCCUACCGUCACAAGUACACCUACUUCUACCACAGCUACUACCACCCCUACCGUCACAAGUACACCUACUUCUACCACAGCUAUUACAACCCCUACCGUCACAAGUACACCUACUUCUACCACAGCUACUACCACCCCUACCGUCACAAGUACACCUACUUCUACCACAGCUACUACCACCCCUACCGUCACAAGUACACCUACUUCUACCACAGCUACUACCACCCCUACCGUCACAAGUACACCUACUUCUACCACAGCUAUUACAACCCCUACCGUCACAAGUACACCUACUUCUACCACAGCUACUACCACCCCUACCGUCACAAGUACACCUACUUCUACCACAGCUACUACCACCCCUACCGUCACAAGUACACCUACUUCUACCACAGCUACUACAACCCCUACCGUCACAAGUACAUCUAACACAGCUACUACAACCUCUACCGUCACAAGUACACCUACUUCUACCACAGAAAAAACAACUCCUAACACUGCUACGAGUACACCUACUUCUCCCGCAGGUAGUACAAUUCCUGCUAA